GCCUAGUUAGCUCGAUUGGUGGCGCGCCUGCCUUGUAAGCGCUAGGCCGCGGGUUCGAUUCCCGCCCGGGGCG
rnacentral:tRNA from 1 species